CUACGGGAAACUGCAGUGGGGAAUAUUGGACAAUGGGCGAAAGCCUGAUCCAGCCAUGCCGCGUGUGUGAAGAAGGCCUUCGGGUUGUAAAGCACUUUCAGUGGGGAAGAAAGCCUUGGGGCUAAUACCCUCGAGGAAGGACAUCACCCACAGAAGAAGCACCGGCUAACUCCGUGCCAGCAGCCGCGGUAAUACGGAGGGUGCGAGCGUUAAUCGGAAUUACUGGGCGUAAAGCGCGCGUAGGCGGUCUGAUAAGCCGGUUGUGAAAGCCCCGGGCUCAACCUGGGAACGGCAUCCGGAACUGUCAGGCUAGAGUGCAGGAGAGGAAGGUAGAAUUCCCGGUGUAGCGGUGAAAUGCGUAGAGAUCGGGAGGAAUACCAGUGGCGAAGGCGGCCUUCUGGACUGACACUGACGCUGAGGUGCGAAAGCGUGGGUAGCAAACAGGAUUAGAUACCCGAGUAGUC
rnacentral:rRNA from 1 species